rnacentral:misc_RNA from 1 species
GAUUUUAACAGUUGCUUAACGCAAUCGGAUGUAGGGAGGAUCGCUCCUCUUUACAUUUUCAUCUAUCCAUAACACCUGUGCACUGUUGGAUGCUUGCAUCCACUUUUAAACUAAACAUUGAUGUAACAAAUGUAGUCUUAUUAUAACAUAAUAAAACUUUUAACAACGGAUCUCUUGGCUCU